rnacentral:rRNA from 1 species
UACGAAGGGGGCUAGCGUUGCUCGGAAUUACUGGGCGUAAAGGGCGCGUAGGCGGCCUUCUAAGUCGAACGUGAAAUCCCUGGGCUCAACCCAGGAACUGCGUCCGAUACUGGAAGGCUUGAAUCCGGGAGAGGGAUGCGGAAUUCCAGGUGUAGCGGUGAAAUGCGUAGAUAUCUGGAGGAACACCGGUGGCGAAGGCGGCAUCCUGGACCGGCAUUGACGCUGAGGCGCGAAAGCAUGGGGAGCGAACAGG